UAUUAGUUUAUAUUUUCCCUCUCUUCUCUUUUUCAUUUCCCUCUUCGUUUUCCCACUUCUUUUUUCCAUUCUCUUACUUUUUCGUAAAAACCCUAAAACCAGCCCAGAAAUCAAAAACCUGAAAUCAAACAUAAAAAUCAAAAUCCUAAGCAUCUCUUCGCACGAUAGUUGAGAGAUGGGGUGAACCAACUGCAAGAUCAUCCAUUCUAUUUGAUUAAAGCUCAUCAGCUUGGACAUCAUUCACUCAUUCAAGCAUAUUCAAGCAUAAGUUGACUUGUACAUUGACCUUUGGUUCUGCUUCUUGAUUCAAAUUUUGAAACCAGAUGACUAACAGAAGUGGAGGCGAGAGAGGAAAGGCAAAUCCAAAAAAACGGAAAAUCUAAGUGCUUAGCACCAGGAAAGCUUAUUGGUCAUCGGAAUAGCAUGUUUCACAAGAAAUCUGCAUUUGUUCAGUCAUCACCGACUACUACAGCACUGACUCCAUCAACAGCUCAAACUCCAUCGAUGGCUCCGACUCCCUCGUCCACUCCGACUCACUCGUCCGCUCCAACUCCAUUGCUAGUGCGGGCUGCACCAGUGUCGCGGACUGUACCAAUUCCACGGGCUGCACCGGUGCCGCGGACUGCAUCAAUUCCACGGUAGUAUUUGCUGAGUUUUGACUCUUAAGGCCCUAGAAUGGUCAAUCUGCUAGUGCUGUCAUUCGACCAUCAAAUCCUCACUAUGAUGAUGAUUUAGAUGACCAAUCAUUAAGUGAACAUUGAUUAUGUCGUCUUAGUAAAAGUAGUCUCGGAUGUAUAUUUUUUUGACAUGAUCUUCAAUGUAUUCCGAGUUUUUGGGGCUGUUUUUUGUUGUAGCUAUGACUACUUUUUUGUUGUUGUUUCAACCUAUGUAAUAUUUGGAUAAUUGUUACUUCAAAUGUGCUAUGUCAAAGCUUUAUAUCUUUUUGCUUCUGAA